ensembl:lncRNA
GUUGACGGAAAAAAGAGCCAAAUGAAGAUCCUUUAAUUUAUUUUUGUUUUCAUUUAUUUAUUUUUUUAAGAUAGAGUAUCUUUCUGUCACCCAGGCUGGAGUGCAGUGGUGUAAUUUUGACUCACUGCAAUGUCCACCUCCCGGAUUCAAGCAGUUCUCAUGCCUCAGCCUCCUGAGUAGCUGUGAUUACAGGCACCCGCCACCACACCCGGCUAAUUUUUGUAUUUUUAGCAGAGACAAAAUUUCACCAUGUUGGCCAGGCUGGUCUCAAACUCCUGACCUCAGGUGAUCCACCUUCCUCGGCCUCCCAAUGGUCCUUUCCUUUUAAUUGAAAGCGUGGCACAUAAUCAGGGAAAAUUUAAGUAGCACCUAUAAUCCCAGCACUUUGGGAGGCUGACGCAGGCGGAUUGCCUGGGCACAGGAGUUCGUGACCAGCCUGGGCAACAUGGUAAAAUCCCAUCUCUACUAAAAUACAAAAAAUUAGCCGAGCAUGGCAGCGUGCACCUGUAGUCCCAGCUACUCAGGAGGCUGAGGCAGGAAAAUUGCUUGAACUCAGGAGGCAGAGGUUGCAGUGAGCUGAGAUCGCGCCACUACACUCCAGCCUGGGCGACAGAGCGAGGCUUCAUCUCAAAAAAUAAACAAAUAAAUAAAUAUAAAGCCAUAAUAAAUAAAUAAAUCUUCUCUCUCCCUUCCUCAGACUACCAGGUCUCCCUCUCCCAUGAAACCACUGUUGCUAGUUUCCUGUAUAUCCUUCAAGUAACAAUCAAUGUGUGGACAAGAGGAGCAUUCUAUAAAAGUGAGUGAGCAUCAGUUAUGCACCUAGCCUUGUGCUAGACAUUGAGAAAUCAAAUACAGUGAUGAUGGCCCCAGAAGAUCGCAGUGGGGAAGACAGACUAGAAAAGAGGUUUCUCUUCUUAGAUCUUCAUCUCAGAGGCGGCACCACCACCCGCUCUCAGCCAAGCCAGGGAUCCAGAAGCCCUUCCAGGGGCUGUGGCCGUCUCUUCGUCCUGAUGCUGACAGAUAAGUCCCCCGAGAACAUUUUUCACCGCCUCCGUGAAAGCAAUGGAUGAAUCUGCACCAAACUGCGGGAAAGAUGGGCUCCUCUUCGCAUGCGGUGGUUUCCACAAACUGAUAAGCUGACACUCAGGGGUGUUGACUUAAAAAUCAGCAGAUUUUUAUAUUUCACGAUGUGUUUGAGCUUUAUCAAUGUCUGCUCACCCUUUGUUCUUGAGGUUUCAUUACACUCGCCAUCAGUUCUGACAGCCUAAACAGAACAUGAUCCGGACAGUUUAUUCUUUAAAUGAAUGAUCCUUACAUCUUCUGACAUCCUUUUACAUUCUCCCUGAAAUGUGCUCUUCAACAUCUGGCAGAGCCCGUUGUAGCUGCCAGAACUUUCUUAAUUCAAUAAUCAAAACAGGUGCCAACGAAGUAAAUCUAUGACUGUUAAUUUUGCAAGUCCUGCUCUUCCCUCCCACCUACCUAAAUUGUUUGAAAAUGAAUGUCAGCUCCCUGCUCAGCCUAUUAGAGGCUUCAGGAAAAAAGGGGGAGGAGGACCCCCACCACCACAACUGUGAUGCUCAGAGAGAGUAUUUUAAAACUUCUUCUGGAAACGAAGCUUGGUUUUAUUCUUUUUUUUUUUUUUUUUUAGAAUGAACAAAGGUUAGGCAGGGCUCACAGAAGAAGUCCAUUUUUAUUUCCUACAAGACUGUGAUUCUCAGGGCAUGUUGGAAGAUUUCCCUGCAUCAGAAUUACCUGAAAAUCUUUAAAAUUAUAUAAUUCCCAGUCUUGACAUAGAUGCACUGAUUCAAAACUUGGGGUGGGAGAGCAAAAAUGUGCAUUUUUAACCAGCCCCCUGGGUGAUUCUAGACCUUGUAAAGUUGAAGGUCAACUGAUCUAAACAUUUUUACCCAAAAGAAAGAAAGAAACAAAAAUCUAAGAGAGGUCACUUACAAAAGGCAAUUCAAUUUAGUCUCUCCUUCUCUCCCCUUUUAAGGAAUGUAAAACAGUCAAGUGAGUUGCUUUAAAAUUAGGAUUGGGGGCCAUAAAACUUUAUUCGGUAGAGACAAUAAAUCCUGAAAAAUAAAUUCCAGUUUUAUUUUAUGUUCAGUUAGGGAGUGAGUGAAAGAGAAAGGAAGGGAAACAGUGAAGAAGUACAGAAAAAAAGGAGAGAAAAAGAAGAGGGGAAUUAGCUUUCUUGAAUAAUUUUUAUAUAAUAGAAAUUAGAGGCACUGUUGUAAAUAUUUUAUGUAGGUUAUCAAGUUUUAUCCAAGGAAGCAAGAGAAUGAUAAGAAAAAGAGACUAAAAUGAUAAAGAGAGAGACAGAGAUGAGGAAACAUGGAGAUAGAAAGAUAAUAUAUGACAGAUAUAGACAAAGAAAGGGACAGACACAGAGAGAAAAACAAAGUUACAGAGUCAGAAAAAUGCACAGAGAUACCCAGAGGGAUACAGAGAGAAACUGAGAACCGCAGAGACACAGAGAAAAAGUUAAACACUGAAUUCAUUUUCUAGGUCUGCCAUAAUAAAGAUUCACAGACUGGGUGGCUUAAACAACAGAAAUUCAUUCCCUCAUAGUUCUGGAAGCUAGAGGGUGUUGGCAGGGUUGGUUUCUUCUGAAGCCUGUCUCCUUGGUUUGUAAAUAGCCAUAUUCUCCUUGUGUCUCACAUGUUCUUCCCCUUGUAUAUGUCUGUGUCCAAAUCUUCUCCUCAUCAGGAUAUCAGUUAUAUAUUACCCAUGGAGGGUCUUGACUUCAAGUCAUUCAGGUUCUUGGCAUUUUGAACAAAGAAUUGGACAAAACUCACAAACAAAGCAAUGAAAGGACAGAUUUUUUGAAACGAAAGUACACUCUACAGAAUGGGAGCAGGCUUGAGCGAGCAGCGGUUACAGAAUUUUCUGGGGUUUAAAUACCUGCUAGAGGUGUCCCAUUGGUUAC